GGACUACAAGGGUAUCUAAUCCUGUUUGCUCCCCACGCUUUCGUGCCUCAGCGUCAAUAUUCGUGAAGUAAGCUGCCUUCGCUAUCGGUGUUCUAUGUCAUAUCUAUGCAUUUCACCGCUACAUGACAUGUUCCGCUUACCUACGCGACAUUCAAGACUUAUAGUAUCAAUGGCAGUUUCCAGGUUAAGCCCGGAGAUUUCACCGCUGACUUACAAGCCCGCCUACGCACCCUUUAAACCCAGUGAAUCCGGAUAACGCUUGCACCCUCCGUAUUACCGCGGCUGCUGGCAC
rnacentral:rRNA from 1 species